rnacentral:lncRNA from 1 species
UUUGGAGCCUGCACAAUUGUUCUGCAAAAGGCAGUGGCUCCGCCGAACGUUGGAUGGGCCCUUGGUCUGGUGAUAUCAGAAAGAAGCAUGCCAUACCUAAGACCUACUACCCUGAGAAGCAGUGAAGUGUUCCUGGGGCCCACCAAGGCCACACAAGUCAAGGAGUGGAUGGCCUUGCUCCAGCUACUGCUCAGAUCAUCUUUGCAAGAUGACAUUGUGUUGGGAGAUGGUCAUCAGAGCCAGGGCCAUGGAAGAUGCUGUCAGGAGGAG